AGGAUAUGAGUGUGAAAGAAGGUAGGCAGUAUAUGAAGGAGGCUGUAAGGAGAUUCUUUGAGGCAGGGCGUUUAGCUAAGCGAAUGGGAGUUAAUGAAGACCAAAUUGUUCAAAUGAGACCAUCUCUCGCUACAAGAUUCUCAUUAAAACCUAAAAAGUUGCCUUAAUAGAUAUGGAAAGAAGGAACAAGAAAACUAGCAAAGAUUGAAAAAUGGCAAACCUCGACGUCAAAGAUGCGGUCGUUGUCGUUUAACUCUUUACGAGGUGUUUGUCUCACAGAAUAGGUUGGUUUAGAUAAGAGUGUACUUGAGAAGGUG
rnacentral:misc_RNA from 1 species